AGCUUACUGCUCAUUCACCUCAGCUUUUUUGCAUCUUCUGUCAGGUUUAUAGUAUCAUAUGCUUCACAUGUUGAAAUGCUCACAUUUUUUAUUUAUUUGUUCAGGUGCACAUGUGGAAAUUGUGCAAAAAUGCCUACAGAACCUGAGAAUAUCUGCUGCUGGGAGACACAACAGGUUAAAAGACGGAUGGAGCAGCUGCCGGACAACAUCUCUUGCAUGAUACAACAUCCUGGGUUGGACCCUGUAUGUUUAAAUUUGUUCACGAUGCAAAACGCAUAUAAUGUUUACAGGGCUGAAUAUGGUGCUUUGCACCAAAGGGCGAUAGAGCGGUAAGUGGUUUCUUACUUAUUUGAUCAUCAUAAUUUUAAUCAAAAAGUACAAUUAAAUGCUAAUGUUGUUCAUGAAAAUAAAUACCUGUAUGUUAAAUUUUA